GCAACAAAAAUCAAAAUGGUGGAUGUGCUGCAAAAAUUAUUGAAUUUUGUGCUAUUUUAUAGCAUAUGAAAGCAAACAUAGACGAAGAAACAAUAUKUAAAGUAUUGAAGUACGUCUGGAAACUUUAGAAAGAUGAUAGUGAUGCACAAUGUGUAUCAUGUGUCAGAUUGCAGCACAACAUCCAACCUUAUCCAUUCUUAAUGCAAUGCCCCUUAUGGCUGAAUGCCGUAAAACAGCAUUUGACAAACAUGCAAUAGCGUGGGCUGACUAUAACUAGUAUAAAACCAAAGAAAACUAGUCUUGUUGCAGAUAUAAAGCUUGCCGCAAUGGCAAAUAGAGCUUGGCAGAAAGAAGUUACUAUGAUACAAUGUAUCUGAAACUGUCAAGACAAAGGCCUUCAUCACAAGACAGAUUUAUAUCAAAGAUCUGUCACCACAAUAUCCUGACCAAAUCUACACAGAAGAUCACCAAGACAUUUAGAAAAUGAUAUUUUUUGAGGGCUGGGGGACUGGUUAUCAUGCUUUAGAGUAGGGACUAMGUAGGACUUUCUCAGAAGAAAUGUGUCCAAGAAUAAGACACUAAGCUUUGAAGGUUUUGAAGAUUAUUCUUSAUUUAAGAUACUGUAGGUCUAAGCUGGUUGUUAGUGGUUCAUAUUCAUUAGAUAAUUGGUUCAGUUUCAUUGAUACAAGUCUUUUUCCAUGUGCCAGUCCUCCAGCCUUAGCAAUAGAUACAGGAGAGUGUCAGGUCCUACCUAGGAUCUUGUAGUAGCUUGCGUUUUUUUUUUUUCUCCAAUGGAGCUUGCCGUUUCUAGAGGCUAAAUUCAAAUGCCUCUCUUAAUUUUGUCAAAUGAAUAUUUCUGUUUAUUCUUCAACUUUUUUCCAGUUUUCAGAGUUCAUAGGAUAGUUUAUCAGUUUGAUGAUUUUGCUUCUGAUUUUCAAGGCACUCUCCUGUAUCUAUUGCUUUUCUUUAUUCUGAAAAAAAUGGAAAUAAACUUCAUGCCUCCCACGAGGCCCUGCCAGCACCAAAAGAGAAGCCACCCCAGCAGUCCUAAUCUCUUUGUUAGUCUCGCUGCCCUGACUAGAGCCAAUCGGUUAUAAGGCCAAGACCAGCAAACCUAAGACUGCCCUGAUACUGGAGACUGACUACAUGAAUGUCGAACCUCCACCCACUGCAGACUUCAGGAGGAGACUCUGGUGUCAUUCAAGCCAGCAAAUAAGGUGAGGGUCAGUGCAAAUGUGAGUCUCGGAUGACCCUUCCCCACCACCCACUGAAUGUGCAUGACGGUGAUGUACUGGGUGAUCAGUAGGCUUGAAGUGUUGCUUCAUUCAGACUUCUCCAAACUAAGUGAUUAUCAAACUGACGUGGAAGA